UACGUAGGGUGCAAGCGUUGUCCGGAAUUAUUGGGCGUAAAGAGCUCGUAGGCGGUCUGUCGCGUCUGCUGUGAAAACUCAGGGCUUAACCCUGAGCUUGCAGUGGGUACGGGCAGACUAGAGUGCGGUAGGGGGAGACUGGAAUUCCUGGUGUAGCGGUGAAAUGCGCAGAUAUCAGGAGGAACACCGGUGGCGAAGGCGGGUCUCUGGGCCGUAACUGACGCUGAGGAGCGAAAGCAUGGGUAGCGAACAGG
rnacentral:rRNA from 1 species